CAGUCCGAGCAGCUUUCAGAAUGACAGUCUGCAGAAGUGAGCUGAGCGUGUGUGCGGCACAGAGCUCUCCUGCCUUCUGGGCUCCGACACAGCUCUGUGGCUGAACUGGGUGCUCCCACCAGAAAUGCUGGGCUAUGGAAUACAGAUUUGGCAGCUCAGGUACCCCCGUGUUGCCUGAAGGAAUACAUCAUGCUUUCCGAUAAGAAGAAAUUUUAGAAGCCAGCUUUUUUUUUUUUAACGCACCCCCCUCUUCUCCUCAAAAAAAAAAAAGAAAGAAAGAAAGAAAGAAAGAAACUGUAAAGAUGCAAAAACGUAAUAUCCAUGAAGAUCCUAUUACUUAGGAAGAUUUUGAUGUUUUGCUGUGAAUGCGGUGCUGGGAUUUAUUUGUUCUUGGAGUGUUCUGCGUGGCUGGCAAAGAAUAAUGUUCCAAAAUCGGUCCAUCUCCCAAGGGGUCCAAUUUUUCUUCCUGGGUGUCAGCGAGCCCUGACUCACUACAGUGCAGCUGACAGGGGCUGUCACGGAAGUGCCCCCCUAAGCCAAAGCAAAAGACCUAAGGACGACCUUUGAACAAUACAAAGGAUGGGUUUCAAUGUAAUUAGGCUACUGAGCGGAUCAGCUGUAGCACUGAUUAUAGCCCCCACUGUCUUACUGACAAUGCUUUCUUCUGCUGAACGAGGAUGCCCAAAGGGCUGUAGGUGUGAAGGCAAAAUGAUAUAUUGUGAAUCUCAAAAAUUACAGGAGAUACCCUCAAGCAUAUCUGCUGGUUGCCUAGGUUUGUCCCUUCGCUAUAACAGCCUGCAAAAACUUAAGUAUAAUCAAUUCAAAGGGCUCAACCAGCUUACCUGGCUGUACCUCGACCAUAACCACAUCAGCAAUAUUGAUGAGAAUGCUUUUAAUGGAAUACGCAGACUCAAAGAGUUGAUUCUGAGUUCCAACAGAAUCUCCUAUUUCCUCAACAAUACCUUCAGGCCGGUAACAAAUUUACGGAACUUGGAUCUGUCCUAUAAUCAGCUGCAUUCUCUGGGAUCUGAACAGUUUCGAGGUUUGCGGAAGCUGCUGAGUUUACAUUUACGAUCUAACUCUCUGAGAACCAUCCCUGUGCGAAUAUUUCAAGACUGCCGCAACCUGGAACUUUUGGACCUGGGAUAUAACCGGAUCCGAAGUUUGGCCAGGAAUGUCUUUGCUGGCAUGAUCAGACUGAAAGAACUUCACCUGGAGCACAACCAAUUUUCUAAACUCAACCUGGCCCUUUUCCCAAGGCUGGUGAGCCUUCAGAAUCUUUACUUGCAGUGGAAUAAAAUCAGUGUCAUAGGACAGACCAUGUCCUGGACUUGGAGUUCAUUACAAAGGCUUGAUUUAUCAGGCAACGAGAUAGAAGCUUUUAGUGGACCCAGUGUUUUCCAGUGUGUCCCAAAUCUGCAGCGCCUCAAUCUGGAUUCCAACAAGCUCACAUUUAUUGGUCAAGAGAUUUUGGAUUCUUGGAUAUCCCUCAAUGACAUCAGUCUGGCUGGGAAUAUAUGGGAAUGCAGCAGAAAUAUUUGCUCCCUGGUAAACUGGCUGAAAAGUUUUAAAGGGCUGCGGGAGAAUACAAUUAUCUGUGCCAGUCCCAAAGAGCUGCAAGGAGUAAACGUGAUUGAUGCAGUGAAGAACUACAGCAUUUGUGGCAAAAGUACCACGGAGAGGUACGAUCUGGCCAGAGCUCUCCCAAAGCCAACAUUUAAACCCAAGCUCCCCAGGCCUAAGCAUGAGAGCAAACCCCCACUGCCCCCCACGGUGGGGGCCACGGAGCCUGGCCCAGAGACCGAGGCCGACUCGGAGCACAUCUCUUUCCAUAAAAUCAUCGCAGGGAGUGUGGCCCUUUUCCUGUCCGUGCUCGUCAUUCUGCUCGUUAUCUACGUGUCUUGGAAACGGUACCCUGCGAGCAUGAAGCAGCUGCAACAACGCUCUCUCAUGCGAAGACACAGGAAAAAGAAAAGGCAGUCCCUAAAGCAAAUGACUCCCAGCACGCAGGAAUUUUAUGUAGAUUAUAAACCCACCAACACGGAGACCAGCGAGAUGCUACUGAAUGGGACAGGACCCUGCACGUAUAGCAAAUCAGGCUCCAGGGAGUGUGAGAUACCUUUAUCAAUGAAUGUUUCAACCUUUCUGGCAUACGACCAGCCCACAAUAAGUUACUGUGGGGUGCAUCAUGAACUUCUCUCUCAUAAAACCUUUGAAACGAAUGCACAGGAAGAUACAAUGGAAACACACCUAGAGACUGAGCUGGACCUGAGUACAAUCACAACAGCUGGCCGAAUCAGUGACCAUAAACAGCAGCUGGCUUAACUGAACUAAUUGAUAGCCAAGGGUUGCUACCAAACUGUAACCUCAAGGACAAAAAUGAGGAAGAUUUAUUCAUUGUGGACUUUAAGAACGAAACGAAAUCCCCUGUUCAAAUAAACAAAAAUCCGAGAUUGAUUCAUGAAAUAAAGAAGACAUGAAUUGUUUCAAGUCUACACUUUGUAAUUAGCUAAGUUGUGCAGUAUUUUUUGACUUAAACAAGAUUAUGAUCCUGAAAAAAAGAAAAGGAACCCUUUUUUUUCAAAACUCAUCCUACCUACCUGUAAAAACUGUACAGAGCUAAUGUAUUUUUCAUAUUGUAAAGUUUCAAUUAUAGAAACAACUGGUAUGUACAGUAACAUAAUUUAAUUACAUUUUACUUUACAAACUUUACACCUUUGAGUUUCUAAAAUUUUAAAUUAACAAAAAUUAUUUCUUGUGUUAUUCAGAGUUACUCCGUUUUGUAGGGACUGUUUUGUUACUGCUUUUGUGCCCAGAAACCUAAAAUUCUGUGCUGUGCAAAAUCUGCACGAUUUUUAUCAUGCUUACUGCGUAGAAUUUUAUCUACUUGUUCCAGAAAUAAUACAUUAACCAAAAGGGUUUAAUUGUUGAGACUUGUAAGAAGUUCUUCAAUUACAUAGACAGGUUUUUCUUAUAAAUGAAAAAAAAAAUCAAAGAAAAAAAUGAAAGAUUUUUUUUAACACUUCUCGAACUUAACUGUUGCCUUGAAUUACAGCCUAGUUUCUAAGCAGUGAAAUGUAAUCAUAAAAAGGGAUAUUUUAACAACAUAUUUCCGAAUGAAUGACUCAUUAUUUCAUUCUUUUUGAGUAACCCAUUGUUAAGAGUGGGGGGAAGCAUGGACUAAACAUCCCUGGAAACAAAGGCCGUAACCACAGCAACAGACUUUGAUAUACUUAAAAGGUGCAGCUGCCAGUGACAAAGAAAAACUUUGGUUACAUCUCAUUAUUUUCAGGCCAAGGUGGGAGGAUAGAGCAUAAUAACUGUACAGCAGUAAUUUUUCUUCUAAUUAACCCAAAGUGGUUUAUCUAAAAAUAACCAUCAUUCAGUGCAAAAUGUGCCUAGUUUUUACGACAACUUCAUAUUUAGAACUUCGAUGCUAUAUUUUGGGACUAUCUCAAAGAAAAUACAUGAAAUUAUCUCCUGGGGAAAGCACUAAACAUCCACAGAUAUGAGCCAUGAGUAAUUCUGGUUCUGGACAAGAAAGACAAACUUCUGGUAUCUUGGUUAGAGAUGUGGUGAAAGACAAAGAAGAGGACCAAAAAUUACAAACACUCAGAGGUGUGUACACUGUCUACUGCUAAGAGAACACUUGUGAGGAUUUAUAGACUAAAUGUCUGCAUAAUUGAACAGUUUAAGAUAGUGAUUAGGAGGCAAGUUACAUUUCAUCAUUGCUAUUGAACAAUCCACUGUACACUAAACUUUCUAUAAAUUCAUUCCUUAAAAAUAUCCUACCUUGAAAAUACUUACAAAAAUAGGGCAAGAGAAUUAGUGUUUGUGGCUGGGGGUGGCCAAAAUAGACAAAAAGGCAUUAGAAGUAAACAAUAAAAGUAUGAUGAUACAAUUCUAAGGAAGUAAGAUUUGGCAUUGACUAAGUAAUUUAUCACUCACUUGAAUUAUGUGGAAUAAAAUAUAUUAAAUUUCUCUACUAUAUUAGCAUAUUUCACAGGUAACUUUGGCAGAAAAGCAAGGAAUAGUGUUUCAAGGUCCUAAAUAAACCACAGGGAGAGUAAUGUAUUAUUCUACUUGUUUUCACUCUUUCUUGCAUGUCUUAAUCUUCUUUUCUUCCUGCCACCUCUUCUUCGAAUGAUAUAUGAAGUAUACAAAUGUGCUGAUAGUGAGGAAGAAUGACAAGACUUAGAGAGGAUAUCAUUUAUUUACCUUGCCAUAUGAAUUAUCCAGUUGUACAAAAUGAUAUGGCCCCAUUACCUUUCCCAAAAGUAUGAGUAAGUUGAUAUUUAACUCAUAGCAGGUCUGACAACUGAAAUCAAGGCUCUACAGUAAGUCACUCUUUCUCCAGUAAUUUGAAUAUCUCAGAAAAAUUCAGAUAAGACACAAAACUUCCCCUUUGAAAUGAUGCUCUGACUCUUUUAAUAAAAUAUCAUCUUCUUUGUGGCUGAAUUUUAUUAAGACUUUAAAAACCCUUUGACUAAUUAAAGAUGGCUUUAAAUGACUGUGGCAGUUUAUGAAAGAUGAAGAAACUUGUUAAUGAAAAUUGUUUAAAAAUACUGAAAUGUCUAUUAAAUAUAUUUUUGUCAAAUCACUGUGUGGUAAAAUGUUAUCCACUUGUGUGUACUUAUAUGCAGUUUCUGUGAUGGAUGGAAGAAUAAAAGAAACUCACUUCU